CCUACGGGCGGCAGCAGUGAGGAAUAUUGGUCAAUGGCCGAGAGGCUGAACCAGCCAAGUCGCGUGAGUGAAGACGGCCCUACGGGUUGUAAACCUCUUUUGUCGGGGAGCAAAGAGAGUCACGGUGGACUCAUUUAGAGUACCCGAAGAAAAAGCAUCGGCUAACUCCGUGACCCCAGCCUCGGUACUACGGAGGAUGCGGGCGUUAUCCGGAUUUAUUGGGUGUCAAGGGUGCGCAGGCGGAGGAGCAAGUCAGCGGUCAAAUUGCGGGGCUCAACCCCGUACUGCCGUUGAAACUGCAUCCCUUGAGUGCGCGAGAAGUAUGCGGAAUGCGUGGUGUAGCGGUGAAAUGCAUAGAUAUCACGCAGAACUCCGAUUGCGAAGGCAGCAUACCGGCGCGCAACUGACGCUCAUGCACGAAAGCGUGGGUAUCGAACAGGAUUAGAUACCCCUGUAGUC
rnacentral:rRNA from 1 species